UACAGGGGGUGCAAGCGUUGCUCGGAAUCACUGGGCGUAAAGCGAACGCAGGCGGACCGUCAAGUCAGGGGUGAAAGCCCGAGGCUCAACCUCGGAACUGCCUCUGAAACUGGCGAUCUUGAGUACGGGAGAGGUGAGUGGAAUUCCUGGUGUAGAGGUGAAAUGCGUAGAUAUUGGGAGGAACACCAGUGGCGAAGGCGGCUCACUGGACCGGUACUGACGCUGAGGCGCGAAAGCGUGGGGAGCAAACGGG
rnacentral:rRNA from 1 species